AUGCUCGCUUCAGCAGCACAUAUACUAAAAGUGGAGAGAUACAGAGAAGAUCAGCGUGGCCCCUGAGUAAGGAUGACAUGUAAAGUUGUGAAGCAGUCCAUAUUUAA
ensembl:snRNA U6 U6 spliceosomal RNA